GUGGGGAAUAUUGCACAAUGGGCGCAAGCCUGAUGCAGCCAUGCCGCGUGUAUGAAGAAGGCCUUCGGGUUGUAAAGUACUUUCAGCGAGGAGGAAGGCAUUAAGGUUAAUAACCUUAGUGAUUGACGUUACUCGCAGAAGAAGCACCGGCUAACUCCGUGCCAGCAGCCGCGGUAAUACGGAGGGUGCAAGCGUUAAUCGGAAUUACUGGGCGUAAAGCGCACGCAGGCGGUCUGUCAAGUCGGAUGUGAAAUCCCCGGGCUCAACCUGGGAACUGCAUUCGAAACUGGCAGGCUAGAGUCUUGUAGAGGGGAGUAGAAUUCCAGGUGUAGCGGUGAAAUGCGUAGAGAUCUGGAGGAAUACCGGUGGCGAAGGCGGCCCCCUGGACAAAGACUGACGCUCAGGUGCGAAAGCGUGGGGAGCAAACAGGAUUAGAUACCCGAGUAGUCC
rnacentral:rRNA from 1 species